rnacentral:misc_RNA from 1 species
GAUGAAGAACGUAGCGAAACGCGAUAUGUAAUGUGAAUUACAGAAUUCAGUGAAUCAUCGAAUCUUUGAACGCACAUGGCGCCUUCCAGUAUCCUGGGAGGCAUGCCUGUCCGAGCGUCGUUUCAACCCUCGAGCCCCCGUGGCCCGGCGUUGGGGAUCUGCCCAGGCAGUCCCCGAAAACCAGUGGCGGACCCGUUACAGGCCCUUCCCUUGCGUAGUAGCAUUCGCCUCGCAUCGGGAGCCGGCGGGCUUCCAGCCUCUAAACCCCCAUCAAGUCCGCCCCGGCGGCACCAAGGUUGACCUCGGAUCAGGUAGGAAUACCCGCUGAACUUAAGCAUAUCAAUAAGCGGAGGA